AUUGAACGCUGGCGGCAUGCCUAACACAUGCAAGUCGAGCGGAUGAAGGGAGCUUGCUCCUGGAUUCAGCGGCGGACGGGUAAGGAAUGCCUAGGAAUCUGCCUGGUAGUGGGGGAUAACGUCCGGAAACGUGCGCUAAUACCGCAUACGCCCAGACGGAGAAAUUGGGUUAUCUUCGGACCUCACGCUAUCAGAUGAGCCUAGGUCGGAUUAGCUAGUUGGUGGGGUAAAGGCCUACCAAGGCGACGAUCCGUAACUGGUCUGAGAGGAUGAUCAGUCACACUGGAACUGAGACACGGUCCAGACUCCUACGGGAGGCAGCAGUGGGGAAUAUUGGACAAUGGGCGAAAGCCUGAUCCAGCAAUGCCGCGUGUGUGAAGAAGGUCUUCGGAUUGUAAAGCACUUUAAGUUGGGAGGAAGGGCAGUAAGUUAAUACCUUGCUGUUUUGACGUUACCAACAGAAUAAGCACCGGCUAACUUCGUG
rnacentral:rRNA from 1 species